UGCCAAAACCCGGGAUCGAACCAGGGACCUUUAGAUCUAACGCUCUCCAAACUGAGCUAUUUCGGC